UUGCCCCCCCAUGUGGAGGUGGAGCAUCUUGUGACACAAAAACAGAGGCAUGGCUGAGUCCAGGCAUGGCUGGCUGAAGGACGUGUGGGAUGUUGGGGAAACUGGCCAUAUCCACCCAUCAGGGGACGUAGAAGAUAUUUCUGAGGAGCUGCUUGCUGCCUUAGCGAUGGAUCAGUCAUCAGGACUUUGUCAAUAUCCUGUCAGCAACUGCUUGGAUAGAGCUCUUACCCUAGAGGUCACUCAAUAAAGGUAACAUGAGUAAUUUAAA